UAUUAAUCUUGAAUUAUUUUAAUACACAACAAAAUUAAUUUUAUAAAUAAAUAAAGUUUAUUAAUUAAUUUAUCUAUGGCGGGCUAUAUCAAAAGAAACUGUUGAAAUUCAAAUUAAAAUAAAUAACUAACCUCAAAGACGUAGGAUACAAUUCCACGAAGUACACACUCAGAAGUCCCAUAGACAACGCACAGAGCAGAAACAAGAAGAAGAAAACCCCUCCAGCAAUCGGACUGGACACUAAAUUCAAUAAAACUGCUGAAAUUCCAGAAAGUAGAACUAUUCCAAUCAUUGCUAAUCUUUUUCUAGAACCACAAGUGAGAGAAAGUACUAGGUUCGAAGAACUCGCUAGAGCUCCGUACGACAUCGCUGAAAUGAGGGUAGUUGGCUGGAUAGUGUCGUUGCACACUUCUUGGAGUAUCUUAGAAUUUCCAGCAGCAGCAGCCAUGCUAUCAGUGGAAUAUCUGAUGACAGUGCAGAGGUUCAUACCGGCACCUCCACCUGUCUCUAACACGGAGAAGAGAUUGUUCAUGAUGUAGGGCAGCCAGAGGAUGAAGCCGCUGCCACUGGAAAUAGUAACACUGAGUAAAGGCGGACGGAACAGCGCGGCGGUUUGCUGCCAGAGAACUCGUAAGAAAGAUUCUUCUUGAUUUGACGUUUGUUCUUGUUCGUCUAUCAGC